rnacentral:rRNA from 1 species
CUGCAACCAAUAUUGGACAGGGUAUGCAAUCGGCUGCAGCCAUGGAUUGCUCGUUGGAUCACUGCGGUUGGUCGCCUCAUGCUAGUCAAGUCGGUCCUCACAUCCAUACCCGUGUAUCACUCCAUGGAGAUGCAGUUGCCCAUGUGGCUGAUCGAUGGGUUUGAGAAGAGAAUUUGUGCCUUCUUUUGGAAGGCGACUGACGUUGUUAGCGGUGGCCAUUGUCUGGUGGCUUGGGAGCAAGUGUGCAAGCCGUUCGAGUAUGGCGGACUAGGCGUCCUGAACCUCAAGCCAUUGGGCUAUGCAUUCCGGGUGCGUUGGCUAUGGAUGUAG